rnacentral:rRNA from 1 species
AACGAACGCUGGCGGCAUGCCUAACACAUGCAAGUCGAACGAGACCUUCGGGUCUAGUGGCGCACGGGUGCGUAACGCGUGGGAACCUGCCUUUAGGUUCGGAAUAACUCAGAGAAAUUUGAGCUAAUACCGGAUAAUGUCUUCGGACCAAAGAUUUAUCGCCUUUAGAUGGGCCCGCGUUGGAUUAGCUAGUUGGUGGGGUAAAGGCCUACCAAGGCGACGAUCCAUAGCUGGUCUGAGAGGAUGAUCAGCCACACUGGGACUGAGACACGGCCCAGACUCCUACGGGAGGCAGCAGUGGGGAAUAUUGGACAAAUGGGCGGAAAGACCUGAUCCAGCAAUGCCGCCGUGAGUGAGAAGAGUACGU